GGCAGUGAAAAUUUUCAAACUUAAAUAAUUGAAAGAGUUUAGCAAUUCCAAAGAAGAACAGAAUUGAAAUCCACUGUUUUGGAUACCAACAAUAAUGGCAGUCUCAUAUCUUAAUGAUUUUAGUAGCUAUCAAAAAGCACCCGAAUUUAUUCAGCAAAACAAGUCAAUUGCCUAAAAUUCCAAUUCUUCGUAAGCUUUACCCACCCAAGGUCAUCAUUUUUCCAUCAUAAACAAUCACUGAGAUGUUGAGCAUUAUUCUUCAAUCAUGCACUUGUAUGAAGCCCUAAAAGCCAAAAAUAUCAGGGCACUUGUUCACUAUCAUAUACAUUAAGUAAAGCAUCUUUACUAUCUUUACCUUGAACCACUUUAUACAUAUUGGCUUUUACCAUGGUCCGUCGUCGGGGUAAUCAAACGGCGUCUCCUGCACCGUUUUGGAAUCGAGCAAAUCAGGGUGCACAAACCCAUACUUCCUCAGCACCUGAUUAUCAGCGAAAUUCAAGGCUCUCACCAUUCCCUUCCAGCAACUGUCUCCUUCGUACAUCUUAUUGUGGUCUCCAUUGCAGGGCUGGCACCCUGUGAAAUGAGUGAUAAAUGGUCUCCUCCAGCUCCCUUUCCCGUUCCCUGUUUCCUGCAAGUGAACCUCCCUAAACGCACCGUAUUGCUCGCUCACUUUCUCCGCAUGUCUCCUCUUCAAUUUCUUGUCCCCUCUCUCUAUCUCUGUGUACCUCUCGGUGAUGUUAUCGUAUGUCGGCACUAUCUCCAACCAAUACCCUUCGAAGUAAUACUCCCCCUCUAGAUAAAUCUUGUCCAUUAAACUCUUAUCUUCGUACAGCAGAUAAAUCAGAGCCGAUUGAUCGUCCGAUUCUGGGAACAACUUGUCUUUGAAUAAGGAACGUUGAAUCUGGCCCCAUCUCUCGUACUCUGGGCUCAUAGGACCCAUCUUGGCCCACUUAUCUAUGAAGUCCAUGGACCAUUGACAGUUUCUGAUCAGGAAAACACCGGCGUUUAGCGCAGUCCAGCUCUUCUCCUCGUAUAUCAACUUCGGCCAGCCGUGGACAACUAGGUUGUGGUUCUUGUAAUCGUAACGGCGUAAUGGAAGUUUGUAUUCCAUGUCGGUGAACAUCGCGUCUGAGUCCACCCACCAGAUCCACUCCGCCUCUGGGUGAGCUAGCAUCGCCGCCCUCACCAUCGGCAGUUUCGCCCAGAAAGUGUGCAUUUUGGGGUGGAGCAGCACGUUGUUGUAGAAGAUAUCGUAGCCGUGGAUUCUGCAGUAGUCCACUUUAUUCUUAAAGAAUCUCAAGACAAAAUGGUCGCCAAUUGGGUUCUUACACGGAGUCGACUGCGAUCCAGUGACCAUCACCACUCGAUCACGAGCGCCGGGUGCGAAAGACCGGUGAUGCCUCAGCCACUCAUUUCUCUUCUGAUCCCAAUCUUUGACAGGCUGCUCGAUGGAAUAUCUGAGCUCCGGAUCGUCGUAGAAGGUUGUAUCAGGAGGGUCAUAGAGGAGGUUAAUCGCCGGGUCUUCCUUUACGCAAGUUUUUGAAUUAGAACCAACCUUAAGGUUGGAAUCAGUGACCUUGGGUUCCGAAGUACCGGAUAUGUCAGGACCGGCAUAAGACCAAAGAGACCAUACGAGUAAAAAAGCAAGCAAAGCACCACCAAGAUAGAGAAAGACAUCACUGAAACAGGAAGAAGCUUUAUUAUUUCUAAAAGUCGAUUUGGCCAUUGUAGAGUAGUGAGAGUUGGAGAGCUCAGCAGCGAGCAUUUUAAGGAAGAGGAUACAGGUAAGAGAGAUAUUUAUAUAAAUUCGUUAAUUUUAGUGAUUUUAUUGACUAAAUUUAACCAUGGAGAUUGGAGUGUCGACUGGGCAAGAAAAAUGUAAUUCAGUCGCAAGAAAUUUGGUGUUUUAUUACAGAGCUCGCUCUGACAGGAGAGUGUUGUGGUGCUGUUUAAUUUCUAAAACGACGAGAGUGAGGCCAUGAGUAAAUAUUCUUUUUAGAUGUCGUUUUAGGAGAUUGACUCGUUGACUGUACAUUUGAGAGAGUGUACCGACAUAGACACUUUUCAAUAAAAACUCGGUUAUUUACGUUAAUUAUGUGGGAUUUACUUGAAAUUAACUUAAAC
rnacentral:misc_RNA from 1 species